rnacentral:rRNA from 1 species
UACAGAGGUCCCAAGCGUUGUUCGGAUUCACUGGGCGUAAAGGGUGCGUAGGUGGUGGGGUAAGUCUGAUGUGAAAUCUCCGAGCUCAACUCGGAAAUGGCAUUGGAAACUACUCGGCUAGAGGGUUGGAGGGGGGACUGGAAUGCUUGGUGUAGCAGUGAAAUGCGUAGAUAUCAAGAGGAACACCAGUGGCGAAGGCGAGUCCCUGGACAACACCUGACACUGAGGCACGAAAGCUAGGGGAGCAAACAGG